rnacentral:rRNA from 1 species
UACAGAGGUCCCGAGCGUUGUUCGGAUUCACUGGGCAUAAAGGGUGCGUAGGUGGUGAGGUAAGUCGGAUGUGAAAUCUCCGGGCUCAACCCGGAAAUGGUAUUGGAAACUGCCUUGCUGGAGGAUUUGAGGGGGGACUGGAAUACUUGGUGUAGCAGUGAAAUGCGUAGAUAUCAAGUGGAACACCAGUGGCGAAGGCGAAUCCCUGGAAAAUACCUGACACUGAGGCACGAAAGCUAGGGGAGCAAACAGG